CAAAGACAUGGUCCCUAUCUUUCUAUCAACCUUAACUCAACUUACACAUGCAAGUUUCAGCAACCCCGUGAGUACACCCUUAAUCCCCAGCCCGGGAACAAGGAGUAGGUAUCAGGAACAAUUUAUAUUAGCCCAAGACACCUAGCCAAGCCACACCUCCAACGGAAUUCAGCAGUGAUAAACAUUAAGCCAUGGGUGCAAACCCGACUUAGUCAGAGCUAAAAGGGCCGGUAAAAUUCGUGCCAGCAACCGCGGUUAAACGAAUGACCCAAGUUGAUAGCACAACGGCGUAAAGGGUGGUUAAGGAAAAUAAUAAUAAAGUUAAAUGACCCAUCGGCCGUUAUACGCUUUCUAGGAGUCCGAAGCCCACAUACGAAAGUUACUUUAAUUUAAUUACCCGACCCCACGAAAGCUGAGAAACAAACUGGGAUUAGAUACCCCACUAUGCUCAGCCAUAAACCAAGACACACACCCACAACAAUGUCCGCCAGGAUAUUACGAGCAUUAGCUUAAAACCCAAAGGACCUGACGGUGCCUUAAACCCCUCUAGAGGAGCCUGUUCUAUAACCGAUAACCCCCGUUAAACCUCACCAUUUCUGGUCAACCCAGCCUAUAUACCACCGUCGCCAGCUAACCUUGUAAGAGAAUAAUAGUAAGCAAAAAGAGCACAACUCAGAAUGUCAGGUCGAGGUGUAGCAAACGAAAUGGGAAGAAAUGGGCUACAUUUUCUAUAACAGAAUAUAACGAAUAUGCAACAUGAAAUAAUGCUUAAAGGAGGAUUUAGUAGUAAAGAGAAAAUAGAGUGUCCUCUUGAAACCGGCCAUAAGGUACGUACACACCGCCCGUCACUCUCCCCCGUCACAAUGCAUAAAACAUAAACUUAUAAUAAAGCAACGACAAGGGGAGGCAAGUCGUAACAAGGUAAGUGUACCGGAAGGUGCACUUGGAUAAACC
rnacentral:ncRNA from 1 species